rnacentral:rRNA from 1 species
GAGUUUGAUCCUGGCUCAGGAUAAACGCUGGCGGCGUGCCUAAAACAUGCAAGUCGUACGGGUCACCUUCGGGUGGUCAGUGGCGGACGGCUGAGUAACACGUGGGCGACCUGCCCGCGAGCGGGGGAUAAGCGCCCGAAAGGGUGUCUAAUACCGCGGAUGUCGGCGAUUCGGUUCGCUGACUGAACCUCACGGCUGAAACCGUGGGGGCUCGUGGAGGGGCCCGCGGCCGAUUAGCUAGUUGGUGAGGUAACGGCCCACCAAGGCGACGAUCGGUAGCCGGUCUGAGAGGAUGAUCGGCCAGACUGGGACUGCGAAACGGCCCAGACUCCUACGGGAGGCAGCAGUUAGGAAUUUUGGGCAAUGGGCGAAAGCCUGACCCAGCAACGCCGCGUGGGCGAUGAAGGCCUUCGGGUCGUAAAGCCCUUUUCCGAGGGAAGAUGAUGACGGUACCUCGGGAAUAAGCCCCGGCUAACUACGUGCCAGCAGCCGCGGUAAUACGUAGGGGGCAAGCGUUGUCCGGAUUCAUUGGGCGUAAAGCGCCCGCAGGCGGCCAACCAAGCCGCGCGUGAAAUCCCUCGGCUCAACUGGGGGCGGUCGCGCAGGACUGGUCGGCUCGAGGCCGGUAGGGGGGAGCGGAAUUCCGGGUGUAGUGGUGGAAUGCGUAGAGAUCCGGAGGAACACCAGUGGCGAAGGCGGCUCCCUGGACCGGUCCUGACGCUCAGGGGCGAAAGCGUGGGUAGCGAUCCGGAUUAGAUACCCGGGUAGUCCACGCCGUAAACGGUGGGCACUAGGUGUCGGGGGUAUCGACCCCCCCCGGUGCCGAAGCAAACGCGAUAAGUGCCCCGCCUGGGGACUACGGCCGCAAGGCUAAAACUCAAAGGAAUUGACGGGGGCCCGCACAAGCAGCGGAGCGUGUGGUUUAAUUCGACGCAACGCGAAGAACCUUACCUAGGCUUGACAUGUGCCUGACCGCCCUGGAAACAGGGUUUCCCUUCGGGGCAGGUUCACAGGUGGUGCAUGGCUGUCGUCAGCUCGUGUCGUGAGAUGUUGGGUUAAGUCCCGCAACGAGCGCAACCCUCGUUCUAUGUUGCCAGCACGUGAUGGUGGGGACUCAUAGGAGACUGCCGGGGUCAACUCGGAGGAAGGUGGGGACGACGUCAAAUCAUCAUGCCCCUUAUGUCUUGGGCUUCACGCAUGCUACAAUGGCCGGUACAAAGGGUUGCGAUACUGUGAGGUGGAGCUAAUCCCAAAAAGCCGGUCUCAGUUCGGAUUGGGGUCUGCAACUCGACCCCAUGAAGUCGGAGUCGCUAGUAAUCGCAGAUCAGCAACGCUGCGGUGAAUACGUUCCCGGGCCUUGUACACACCGCCCGUCAAGUCACGAAAGUUGGUAACACCCGAAGCCGGUGGCCUAACCCCUUGUGGGAGGGAGCUGUCGAAGGUGGGACUGGCGAUUGGGACUAAGUCGUAACAAGGUAGCCGUACCGGAAGGUGCGGCUGGAUCACCUCCUUUCU